CUUCCUACGGGACGCAGCAGUGAGGAAUAUUGGUCAAUGGUCGGGAGACUGAACCAGCCAAGCCGCGUGAGGGAUGAAGGUACAGAGUAUCGUAAACCUCUUUUGUCAGGGAACAAAGGCGGGGACGCGUCCCCGGAUGAGUGUACCUGAAGAAAAAGCAUCGGCUAACUCCGUGCCAGCAGCCGCGGUAAUACGGAGGAUGCGAGCGUUAUCCGGAUUUAUUGGGUUUAAAGGGUGCGCAGGCGGUCUGUUAAGUCAGCGGUCAAAGCCCGGGGCUCAACCCCGGUACUGCAUUUGAAACUGUC
rnacentral:rRNA from 1 species